rnacentral:lncRNA from 1 species
CGGCGCCGCCCCUCCGGCCGCACCUCCGGCGCGGAAAGUUGCCCGCCGCCUGCCGCGCGGCCCCUCCCCUCCGCCGGCUGUUUGCGUUUAAAAUCCGCCCCCAUCUUUAAAACGGGGCUCCGGGUCUCUGCGGCCGCCGCCGCUCCCGGCCUCCCUUCCCCCACCCCUCGCGUCCACGCGGGCCCCGGCGACCCCCGGGGCGGGCGGACACCCCAAGUCUGCGUCUGAUCGGCCGCGGGCUACCCGCGCCGGCGGCGAGGAGCCGCUCAGAUUGGUCUGUGCGCCCUGCUGCGUCGGUUUCGGCCCCGGACCCUCCGGCGGGCUUCUGCUCCCCGGGCCGGGGCCCGAGCGCCGGCGCUGGGCCUCCCCGUACGCGGACGGAAGGUGUGUCCGGCCGCCCAACGGCCCAGGACCCUGCGGAGGCCGGCUUCGCGGCAGGGGCAGGGGGCACGAGGCGAAAAGCAACUUUUACCCGCUUGCGGCUCCCUUCCGCGGGCUCCUCCCGGGCCGGCACCGCGAUCCGCGACCCUCAGACGGAGACCCCUCCCCUAGGAAUGUGGCCUCGCUCGGCCGAGUCCGCCCUUCUGCAGUCCGCGCCGCGCGCGAGCUAGGACUUCCCCCUGCAGGCCCUCUGCUUUCCCUGAUCGCGCGCCCAUACAGCGAGAACCACAGCUGCAGAUGGGUUUUCCUCAGAAGAACGCCAGCGCGGGACUCCGGGGCCUUCCCCCAGACGCCUUCCCGGCGCCCCUCCUCAGACCCCGUCUGCGCGCUUCAGCCUGUGGCCCACGUUGCGGCUGGGGUGGGGCCUCCGUUUUCUGCUUCCGCUUAAACCGUCCCUCCUGCCGCCUCGCCGAGUGUGGACCGUGUUGCUCAGGCCAGCCACCGCUGUGGAAAACGGCCAAGACAGGUUGUCCUUGGGAGACACUCGGCAAGUUCCUUAGGAAAAACGGAGCUCAUCCCAAGAAACAGGGCAGAGGUGGGGCUAGUACAGUCAUCUCUAGGUUCCACAGAAAUCCGUUUCUUGGCUUUUUAUAUUAUUAUUAAGACUUUCAACAAAAAACUUUUGGACCAUUUUUAAAGUUGUUAUUGNNNNNNNNNNNNNNNNNNNUCUGGUUUAUGUUUUGGCUUUUUGGUUCCAAGGCAUGUGGGUUUUUAGCUCCUUGACCAGGGACGGAACCCACAUCCCCUGCAUGGGACGGCGAAGUCUCAAGCCCUGGACCGCCAGGGAGUCAGCAUCUAUCAUUAGACAUUUCUCUGUGGUCCCUAAUUGCCUAAAUAUUGAAUUUUCUUCACAUAAAUGUUAGGUAAAGACGACCAGGACAC